UACGUAGGGUGCGAGCGUUGUCCGGAAUUACUGGGCGUAAAGAGCGUGUAGGCGGCUUGGCAAGUCCGCUGUGAAAACUCGAGGCUCAACCUCGAGACGUCGGUGGAAACUGCCUGGCUAGAGUCCGGAAGAGGAGAGUGGAAUUCCUGGUGUAGCGGUGAAAUGCGCAGAUAUCAGGAAGAACACCCGUGGCUAAGGCGGCUCUCUAGUACGGUACUGACGCUGAGACGCGAAAGCGUGGGGAGCGAACAGG
rnacentral:rRNA from 1 species